UCUGGGACAAGCCCUGGAAACGGGGUCUAAUACCGGAUAUGACGCGUUCCCGCAUGGGAUACGUGUGGAAAGCUCCGGCGGUGCAGGAUGAGCCCGCGGCCUAUCAGCUUGUUGGUGGGGUGAUGGCCUACCAAGGCGACGACGGGUAGCCGGCCUGAGAGGGCGACCGGCCACACUGGGACUGAGACACGGCCCAGACUCCUACGGGAGGCAGCAGUGGGGAAUAUUGCACAAUGGGCGCAAGCCUGAUGCAGCGACGCCGCGUGAGGGAUGACGGCCUUCGGGUUGUAAACCUCUUUCAGCAGGGAAGAAGCGUGAGUGACGGUACCUGCAGAAGAAGCGCCGGCUAACUACGUGCCAGCAGCCGCGGUAAUACGUAGGGCGCAAGCGUUGUCCGGAAUUAUUGGGCGUAAAGAGCUCGUAGGCGGCUUGUCGCGUCGGAUGUGAAAGCCCGGGGCUUAACUCCGGGUCUGCAUUCGAUACGGGCAGGCUAGAGUUCGGUAGGGGAGAUCGGAAUUCCUGGUGUAGCGGUGAAAUGCGCAGAUAUCAGGAGGAACACCGGUGGCGAAGGCGGAUCUCUGGGCCGAUACUGACGCUGAGGAGCGAAAGCGUGGGGAGCGAACAGGAUUAGAUACCCUGGUAGUCCACGCCGUAAACGUUGGGAACUAGGUGUGGGCGACAUUCCACGUUGUCCGUGCCGCAGCUAACGCAUUAAGUUCCCCGCCUGGGGAGUACGGCCGCAAGGCUAAAA
rnacentral:rRNA from 1 species